AGAUUGAACGCUGGCGGCAGGCCUAACACAUGCAAGUCGAGCGGCAGCACGGGUACUUGUACCUGGUGGCGAGCGGCGGACGGGUGAGUAAUGCCUAGGAAUCUGCCUGAUAGUGGGGGAUAACGCUCGGAAACGGACGCUAAAUACCGCAUACGUCCUACGGGAGAAAGCAGGGGACCUUCGGGCCUUGCGCUAUCAGAUGAGCCUAGGUCGGAUUAGCUAGGUUGGUGGG
rnacentral:rRNA from 1 species